AGCGAACGCUGGCGGUAGGCCUAACACAUGCAAGUCGAACGAAACCUUCGUAGGGGGUUGCUCUCACGGGUGGCAAGCGGGGGAACGGGGAUUUAGAUUCCGAAUCACACUUUGUCACGGGGGAUAACGUCGGGGAUGUUCUUCGAAUACAGCAUACGUCCCCCUUGGGGCAGCCGGCGAUUUUUUGGCUUUUCGCUUUCGGAAGUGCCGACCUCGGACUAGCUAGUUGGCGGGGUAAAGGCCCACCAAGGCGACGAUCCGUAGCUGGUCUGAGAGGAUGAUCAGCCACACUGGAACUGAGACACGGUCCAGACUCCUACGGGAGGCAGCAGUGGGGAAUAUUGGACAAUGGGCGCAAGCCUGAUCCAGCCAUACCGCGUGGGUGAAGAAGGCCUUCGGGUUGUAAAGCCCUUUUGUUGGGAAAGAAAAGCAGCAGGUUAAUACCCCGCUGUUCUGACGGUACCCAAAGAAUAAGCACCGGCUAACUUCGUG
rnacentral:rRNA from 1 species